UGAAUUUAUAUUGCAUUAUGUAUAUCACGAUAUCAUUUAGUACCUCAAAAUAGUAAUACAUAUAUCAAAAAGAAAAAUUUUUUUUUGUCUAUGCUAUUCGGGGCUUUUGUGGAGAGGACAGUGAAGACAGGGUUGAUGAGAGUGGCAACUACACCGCUACAUAACUACGUAGCAUGGGACCACAGAUCGGAAUCAAACCUGGUUCACCACAAGGCAUAUUGCCUUUGCGUGAGCUGCAAAAUGGCAUACAGUAUUCACCUGGGUGGAGCUGGCCAGUUUCCCGUUUGUGUGAUGAGGCCUAAUGAAUGUGAUGUUCUGCCGCUGUGUCUGGUAGGGGUGUUGUGGCAAGGUGCUGUUCUCUAUGACCCCCCACCCCGCCUUCUGGUGGACGCAGGGAAGGAGCUCCAGCUGCGAGCGCUCGAAGAGAGGAGCAUGGGUCGAAACCAGAACUCUUCCCAAGGGGAACCAAUCCGUUCGCUACGGUAAAGCUGAAGCCCACAACCACCAAUGACAAGUCAAAGCCAAAACUUCACCGAAGAUGAACUUCAAUGAUCAGCAGUAGCCUCUUAGCAUGGCUACAAUAUAAAUAUUCACAAUUAAUAUAGAGUUGUAGAGAGUGUUAUACAAAAAAUGACUGUGAAGUUCAUGUAUUUCAAGUAUUUUCAACUGAUUUCCAAGAACUUAAUUGAAGCAGUUGCUUGUAUUUGUGUAUGUAUGCAUAGUCAAUCAGUGGCUUUAGGGCUUGUACAUUGUGACGUCACAUCGCAAUUACCGCCUCCAUUUUGGAAGCAUAAUAUUGUUAACGGUAGUGUUUUGGUCAUUGUUUAUUAAUUAAUUUCUAAGUAUUUUUCACGUGGUGUUCCUCAUGUGAGAUGUGGCAAAACAAUCUGAUUAGCUUCGGAAACAAUAUAUUUAUGUUUAUUUUGGAUUUUACAUUACAACUCUCUUGAGUACUCUCGAAAGGUCAGAAUAUCGCCAACAAAAUAAUCCCAUGAUGCCUUCUGAUGUACAAGCCCUAUUGAAAUUCAAAAGAAUUAAAGCCAAUUGAAAAUAAACAUGUCAUUAGUUAUGUCUAUGAUUUGUGUAAAAUGUAUAUAUAUUAUUAAGCUUAAUUAAAUAGGUAAAGUGUAUAUUGACAUUUCACAUACAACUCAGUUAAAAAUCUGUAGGCUUAAAUUAAGACGUUAUUUUAACAUCAAAUAAUAAAAUCAUGUUCUGCAUGUAUGCAAGAUCUUAUCUUACUGGCUCAGCAAGAUAACGUUUUUUUGAGGGGAACAUGUAGCAUGCGUGAAGAAUUAUAUUUAGUUGGUGCUUAUCUCUUCUGUCCUAGUGCCUCCAUUGGCAUAAGGGCUGUUAAUGUGCCCAGGCAGUAGAAUGGCCUACUAAAAGUAGAGCGGUCUUCCAUAAGGGCUGUUAAUGUGCCCAGGCAGUAGAAUGGCCUACUAAAAGUAGAGCGGUCUUCCAUCAAGGCUUGCCAGUAUGGGUGCUCCCACUGGGGAUACUUAACCUACAUCAAACCUCAGUGUGAAUUCUCUUUCAACUAAUGGCUUGACAGUUUGCUUUUAUUUGAAUGGGCACUCACAGCUAAUAAUAAUCUUUUUUCUCCAUUUGAAAACUUUUAUUAAGCUCCCUUAAGUUUAAAUGAAAUAUUGAUCAAUAAUAACGCUUGGAUGAUUCUCUUUUCUGCAAUCAUAUCUUUCGACUUAGAAAAUAUGUUGAAUAAAUCCCAAAAGAAACAAUGGUUAACAAUAAAUGUAUAUAUCAC
ensembl:lncRNA